rnacentral:rRNA from 1 species
GACGAACGCUGGCGGCGUGCUUAACACAUGCAAGUCGAACGGAAAGGCCCCUUUGGGGGUACUCGAGUGGCGCACGGGUGAGUAACACGUGAGUAACCUGCCCUUGACUUCGGGAUAACUUCAGGAAACUGGGGCUAAUACCGGAUAGGAAUCCUUGCUGCAUGGUGGGGGUUGGAAAGCUUCGGCGGUUUUGGAUGGACUCGCGGCUUAUCAGCUUGUUGGUGGGGUAGUGGCUUACCAAGGCUUUGACGGGUAGCCGGCCUGAGAGGGCGACCGGCCACAGUGGGUCUGAGAAACGGCCCAGACUCCUCCGGGAGGCAGCAGUGGGAAACAUUGCACAAUAGGCGGAAGCCUGAUGCAGCAACGCAGCGUGCGGGAGGACGGCCUUCGGGUUGUAAACCGCUUUCAGCAGGGGCGAAGCUUGUGGUGACGGUACCUGCAGAAGAAGCACCGGCUAACUACGUG